rnacentral:rRNA from 1 species
ACUCAAAGGAAUAGACGGGGGUCCGCACAAGCGGUGGAACAUGUGGUUUAAUUCGACACUACGCGAGGAACCUUACCUGGGCUUGACAUGCACCUGCUCGGCGUAGAAAUACGUUUUCUUGUAGUAAUACAAGCGAGUGCACAGGUGCUGCAUGGCUGUCGUCAGCUCGUGUCGUGAGAUGUUGGGUUAAGUCCUUUAACGAGCGCAACCCUUGCCACUAGUUGCAACGUCGAAAGAUGGCACUCUAGUGGGACUGCCUGGGAAACCAGGAGGAAGGUGGGGAUGACGUCAAGUCCUCAUGGCCCUUAUGCCCAGGGCUACACACGUGUUACAAUGGCGAAUACAACGAGGAGCAAGCUCGCGAGAGCAAGCAAAUCUCUUAAAAUUCGUCUCAGUUCGGAUUGAAGUCUGCAACUCGACUUCAUGAAGUUGAAAUCGCUAGUAAUCGCGCAUCAGAACGGCGCGGUGAAUACGUUCUCGGACCUUGCACACACCGCCCGU